AUACGGAGGAUCCGAGCGUUAUCCGGAUUUAUUGGGUUUAAAGGGUGCGCAGGCGGGAGAUUAAGUCGGCGGUGAAAUUUUGCAGCUCAACUGUAAAAGUGCCUUCGAAACUGGUUUCCUUGAGUGUAGAUGAAGUAGGCGGAAUUUGUGGUGUAGCGGUGAAAUGCAUAGAUAUCACGAGGAACUCCGAUUGCGCAGGCAGCUUACUAAACUACUACUGACGCUCAGGCACGAAGGCGUGGGGAUCAAACAGGAUUAGAUACCCUGGUAGUCCACGCAGUAAACGAUGAUUACUAGCUGUUUGCGAUACAAUGUAAGCGGCUGAGCGAAAGCGUUAAGUAAUCCACCUGGGGAGUACGUUCGCAAGAAUGAAACUUAAAUGAAUUGACGGGG
rnacentral:rRNA from 1 species